rnacentral:rRNA from 1 species
AUACGGAAGGUCCGGGCGUUAUCCGGAUUUAUUGGGUUUAAAGGGAGCGCAGGCGGAGAUGCAAGCGUGACGUCAAAUUUCGGGGCUCAACCCCGUCUCGCGUCGCGAACUGCGUCCCUUGGUUGCGGGAAGGGGAGGCGGAACUCGUGGUGUAGCGGUGAAAUGCAUAGAUAUCACGAAGAACUCCGAUCGCGAAGGCAGCCUUCCGGCCCGUCAACGACGCUCAUGCUCGAAGGUGCGGGUAUCAAACAGGAUUAGAUACCCUGGUAGUCCGCACAGUAAACGAUGGACACCCGCGGUUUGGCCUGUAUGGCUGAGCCGCCAAGCGAAAGCGUUAAGUGUCCCACCUGGGGAGUACGCCGGCAACGGUGAAACUCAAGGGAAUUGGCGGGG